GAUGAAGAACGCAGCGAAAUGCGAUAAGUAAUGUGAAUUGCAGAAUUCAGUGAAUCAUCGAAUCUUUGAACGCACCUUGCGCCCUUUGGCCAUUCCGAAGGGCAUGCCUGUUUGAGUAUCAUGAAUACCUCAACUCUUUAUGGUUUUCCAUGAUGAGCUUGGACUCUGGGGGUUUUGCUGGCUCACAGUCGGCUCCUCUAAAAUGAAUCAGCUUACCAGUGUUUGGUGGGUAUCAUGGGUGUGAUAACUAUCUACGCUUGUGGUUUUUCCACCAGGUAACCUUCAGCAGUGGAGGUUCGCUGGAGCUCAUAGAUGUCUCUCCUCAGUGAGGACAGCCCUUUGAAUGUUUGAUCUCAAAUCAGGUAGGACUACCCGCUGAACUUAAGCAUAUCAAUAAGCGGAGGA
rnacentral:misc_RNA from 1 species